AUGUUUCAUCUAUGUAUUCCAGACUCUGUAGAUCUAAGGACAAAGAGGAAGGCGUUCGACAUUGUGAUGGCAGUAAGGAGACUUGAGGAGGAGAAGAGGAUUCUUAUUGCAGAGAUGAACAAGCAUUGGAAGUCUCUUUGCUCCCGUGCAGACACCCUGAAGCAGAUGUCAUCCCAGCUUUCUAAUGUGACAUCAGGUGAGACGUGGGGCCUGCUUCAAGAUGGUAUCCGAGGUCUACAGAGCUUGACGAUGAAGAACAAGCAAGCAAGCAACAGCCUGGCAAAGCAUGCAAAGAAAUAUUAUGUUCAAGUUCUGACUGAAACAGAAAUUAACUUUGAUAGUGAUUCUGAGGAAUACCAUACCAGUAGUGACUCUGAGCAAGAUUAAACAUGGCCAGAGUCCUUUUUUAUGCUGUUGUGUGCUGGGGAGGCAGCAUUAAGAAGAGGGCCGCUGGGACAGGUUGGUAAGGAAAGCUGGCUCUGUGUUUGGCAUGGAGCUGGGUGCCCUCAAUAUGUUCAGGGGGACGAUUUUUGCCUACCCCCUGUACCUCCAAAAGCAUAUGGCCUAUAAGCCAGUUAAAUUUUUUGCAAUGGAUGUGACAUGCAAGUACUGGCCUUACCUCCAGAGAGUGACAGAGAAAUAGCCCUGUAGCUUGAGGAUCUCCUCACCAUGAGGCCAUUUCUUUCUGUUUUUCAUGCCAAAGCUCAUGAUUUCAAAUGUGAGGUAAGAAAAAAUGAUUGUCCAUGACAUUUUAUUUCCCUAAAAUCCUGCAUAAGAUUGUUGCCACUUAGGUUUUGUUUUUUGUUUUCUUUUUUAAAGGUAAAAUGGAGUGGAGCAUAUCAGGAGGGGGCUGGUUCGACUCUUGGGGAAGAGGUGGAGCAGUGCAACGCCUUCCUCUUGAGGAUUGCUGUUACGACAAAGCACAUGUCAAAAGCAGGUAAGGUAACCAGUCAAUUUUGAUCCUGAUGACAUGGGUGAGCCACUUUGAGCUUAUGCAUAAUGCUGACUCUGAAAAUAUAAAGAUCAGAAUAUAUUAAACACAAAUGGAUGGAUCGAUUACAAUAACAUCAUCCUAUUUUAUUUGACGUGAGGAUAAUAAGGAAGGGCAGUGCGAUAUAAAAAAAACACAUCAGAGUACCAUUCACCUACUGUCCUGCCAUUUAAAUACUGUCCUGCGCCACUGUGUCAUGCUAUUUCUUCACUAUCCUGUGCGAUUUACCUAACCCUUUCAUGGGACAGUAAUCAAAUGGCACAAGACAGCAUAUUAGUACCAUAGUACUGUACUGUAUGUUAUUAUCUCUGAAAAGUUUGUGAUUCAAGUCUGCACACUUUCUUCUCCUACUGCUACUGGAAAGAAGGGUGAUAAUCUCAUUAUUUUUUUAUUUUUGCAGGAUGCAUAGACAUGCUGACGAUCAUGGCCAUGCGCUGGAACCAACUAAAGUUUGACAACUUGGCUUCUACCCUUGCCCGCCGAUAGAGGGCCGCUGGGACAGGUUGUUAAGGAAAGCUGGCUCUGUGUUUGGCAUGGAGCUGGAGUUAAUUAUUUAACAAACUGAGGAUAAUUUGCAGUAGCAGUCUUCUGUCAUGCUCAACAUUGAGGAGGUCCUUUGUCCCCAGGGCAUACCAGCAACUCAAUGUCACAGAAAAGGUUAGGGGAGAAAUUGACUUUUCAGCAUGAGUCUCACCCUGCGCCAACCAUUACAUCGCUUUGUCUAUUGUCUAGUAUCCACUAUCCAUUUGACUGUCUUACAGGCUACAUUAGCCCCUCUACACAUUCUGAACUGUGGUUUCAACAUUUACCCCUGUUGGCUUGUAUAAUCUUUUUUCUUUUUUAUAUAUAUAUUUAAGUUUCUGUUUUUCUAUCUAUUUUAACUUCUUUGUAUUGUUUUUGUUAAGCAAUUACUAUUAUGCUCAGACUCUUUUUCCAUAGUCAUAUUAAACAUGCACAGCUUUGCACUGAUUAAAUCCCUGCACUGUUUACUUUGCACUACCACCACUGCAAAUCACUCUAUAGUUGCCCAUCAUGUAUCACAGGGUCAGUCCCUACCAGGCCUUUGUAAUCACUUGACAUGCUCUUCACUUUUACAUUGUGAUUUUGUUAUGUGUCUGAGUUGUGUGUUGUUUUUGUGGUUGUAUAAGCUAAUAAAUGCCUAAAAU
rnacentral:lncRNA from 1 species